AACUGUCUCUCUCAAAUUGGAAUUUAGACAGAGAGGCUGCGUGAUUCUCCAUGAAGAAAUCAUCUUUGAAGCUGCUUGACUUGGAUUAUCCUCAAGAAAAGGUUGAGUAUUUAAGAUGGACAGAGAGAAGCACCUCCAGGCCAUACCUCCAUCCUAUCAGACAUUUGUUUGUUCCCUAAAACUAAGGAAUCUUUAUGUCCCCAGGAAGAUGAUCACCCCACCUCGCCAAAUGCCUGGGUGACUAACACUCUGUUGUAAAAAGUAUAAAAUCUCUAGAACUGAUGGCGUCUGGGGGACAGCUUUUCCAUCCAUGCUGUCCUCAUGGGGAACAGCCUUUCCAUCCAUGCUGUCUUCCCAAGGAACUGCUCCCCAUCUUGCUGUUCCAACUUGCUAUCCUCCUGGCCACUCUCAACAUUACUUUCUAAAUUAAUAAAUUUCUCUUUUUGUUAUUAA